UACGUAGGUGGCAAGCGUUGUCCGGAUUUAUUGGGCUUAAAGGGUGCGUAGGCGGCUUAAUAAGUCAGUGGUGAAAGCCGAUCGCUUAACGAUCGAACUGCCAUUGAUACUGCUAGGCUUGAGUAUAGUUGAGGUAGGCGGAAUUGACAGUGUAGCGGUGAAAUGCAUAGAUAUUGUCAAGAACACCAAUUGCGAAGGCAGCUUACUAAAGUAUAACUGACGCUGAGGCACGAAAGUGCGGGGAUCAAACAGG
rnacentral:rRNA from 1 species